CCUACGGGUGGCUGCAGUGAGGAAUAUUGGUCAAUGGGCGCGAGCCUGAACCAGCCCAGUCGCGUGAGGGAUGAAGGUUCUAUGGAUCGUAAACCGCUUUUAUAAGGGAAUAAAGUUUGGGACGUGUCCUAUUUUGUAUGUACCUUAUGAAUAAGGAUCGGCUAACUCCGUGCCAGCAGCCGCGGUAAUACGGAGGAUCCGAGCGUUAUCCGGAUUUAUUGGGUUUAAAGGGUGCGUAGGCGGCCUUUUAAGUCAGCGGUGAAAUUUUGUGGCUUAACCAUGAGAGUGCGGCGCGAACUGGAGACCUAGAGAGCGCGGAAGGCAGGCGGAAUUCGUGGUGUAGCGGUGAAAUGCUUAGAUAUCACAAAGAACCCCGAUUGCGAAGGCAGCCUGCCGAAGCGUUUCUGACGCUGAAGCUCGAAAGCGCGGGUAUCGAACAGGAUUAGAUACCCCGGUAGUC
rnacentral:rRNA from 1 species